UUAUCUGGUUCUUGGAUGGUUCAAUCUUGCUUUUUUUCUUCACACUCCUCUGACACCUCAAUCCAUCCCCAUUUUCUAUUAGCCAAACGUUUUCCCUCUUCUUCUGUCAACUCUGCCUUAAAUCCCUAUCUUUUUCUUCCUUGCUAGCACUAACAGCCCACACACGCUCAUGCAGAGUCACCUGAGCUGUUGUCCCAUGUGGUUUUCCUGGAGUGCAUGUUCUUCGCACCAGGAGUUUGUGGUUCUCCCACAGCGCGCACCCCACAGAUACAAACACACAAGGCUCUUUUGAAGAGCAGCAGUCGCUGGACUUAUUGCCCUGAUUUGAGGUUUUAAUGAGCAGACUCGAUAAAUUAAAGCAAGAGCAAAAGCGAAAGUUUAUUGUGCUCUAUGGAAAAGUGUCAAUCUAAAGGCGGAUCGUCAUUUCCUUCAUUCGCUCUUCCCAGUGUGGCUCAGUCGAUGUAGUGAGGCUUUAGAACGGUCUUACCCAGCCAGCGAUGGAUUUCCUCCAAGGCAGAGGAUGCCUACAGAGCUCAUCAAAGAAAAGAAAAAGAAGCCUUUGCAGCAUUUGAAGACAUCUGAAUACACUCUACAAUUUCCUGGACUUUAUGCUACCUCUUGUCAAGUGUUACGUUAUUAUUUUCAGCCCUUGGAAAACAGGACUGCACUAUAGAUGAUGACUGUGGGAUUUCUGCUACCUUGGAGCAAAUAUGAUUUUUAUGCUUUCCCUCCUAUUAAAGUACUUUAGAAAAUGAAGCACACAAAAAGCAAGAUCUUGCUCAUUAUUAGUGUUGAGAGCCACCUAUCCUUGUACUUCAAGAACAUGGUUUAGAACGGGGAUCUGCUACUGCCUCUACCCAGGCAGCUUUCUCAUUUUCCAGAAUGAUACGCUGGUGAGACAAACACAUAGAGCUAUGUUUUCCUCACAGGAGUCCAGAAAUUGCU